UAGUUGGCAGGGUAAGAGCCUACCAAGGCAGAGAUCGGUAGCCGGCCUGAGAGGGCACACGGCCACACUGGCACUGAAACACGGGCCAGACUCCUACGGGAGGCAGCAGUGGGGAAUCUUGCACAAUGGGGGAAACCCUGAUGCAGCGACGCCGCGUGAGCGAUGAAGCCCUUCGGGGUGUAAAGCUCUUUCGGCAGGGAAGAUGAUGACGGUACCUGCAGAAGCAGCUGCGGCUAACUACGUGCCAGCAGCCGCGGUAAUACGUAGGCAGCGAGCGUUGUUCGGAGUUACUGGGCGUAAAGGGUGUGUAGGCGGUUCUUUAAGUUUGGUGUGAAAUCUCCCGGCUUAACCGGGAGGGUGCGCCGAAUACUGAGGGACUUGGAGUGCGGGAGAGGAAAGUGGAAUUCCUGGUGUAGCGGUGAAAUGCGUAGAUAUCAGGAGGAACACCGGUGGUGUAGACGGCUUUCUGGACCGUAACUGACGCUGAGACACGAAAGCGUGGGUAGCAAACAGGAUUAGAUACCCUGGUAGUCCACGCCCUAAACGAUGCAUAUUUGGUGUGGGUCAUUCAGUUGAUCCGUGCCGGAGCUAACGCGUUAAAUAUGCCGCCUGGGGAGUACAGUCGCAAGGCUGAAACUCAAAGGAAUUGACG
rnacentral:rRNA from 1 species